UACGUAGGCAGCGAGCGUUGUUCGGAAUUAUUGGGCGUAAAGGGCGCGUAGGCGGUGCGGUAAGUCACCUGUGAAAUCUCCUGGCUCAACUGGGAGCUUGCAGGCGAAACUGCCGUGCUGGAGUGUGGGAGAGGUGCGUGGAAUUCCUGGUGUAGCGGUGAAAUGCGUAGAUAUCAGGAGGAACACCGGUGGCGAAGGCGGGUCUCUGGGCCGAUAUUGACGCUGAGGAGCGAAAGCGUGGGGAGCAAACAGG
rnacentral:rRNA from 1 species